AGAGGUGGCAAGCGUUGUUCGGAAUUACUGGGCGUAAAGGGCGCGUAGGCGGCCAUCUAAGUCAGACGUGAAAUCCCCCGGCUUAACCUGGGAACUGCGUCUGAUACUGGACGGCUUGAGUAUGGGAGAGGGAUGUAGAAUUCCAGGUGUAGCGGUGAAAUGCGUAGAUAUCUGGAGGAAUACCGGUGGCGAAGGCGGCAUCCUGGACCAUUACUGACGCUGAGGCGCGAAAGCUAGGGGAGCAAACGGGAUUAGAUACCCCGGUAGUCCUAGCCCUAAACGAUGAAUGCUUGGUGUGGCGGGUAUCGAUCCCUGCCGUGCCGAAGCUAACGCAUUAAGCAUUCCGCCUGGGGAGUACGGUCGCAAGGCUGAA
rnacentral:rRNA from 1 species